rnacentral:rRNA from 1 species
GAUGAACGCUGGCGGCGUGCCUAAUACAUGCAAGUCGAGCGAACGGACGAGAAGCUUGCUUCUCUGAUGUUAGCGGCGGACGGGUGAGUAACACGUGGAUAACCUACCUAUAAGACUGGGAUAACUUCGGGAAACCGUAGCUAAUACCGGAUAAUAUUUUGAACCGCAUGGUUCAAAAGUGAAAGACGGUCUUGCUGUCACUUAUAGAUGGAUCCGCGCUGCAUUAGCUAGUUGGUAAGGUAACAGCUUACCAAGGCAACGUUGCAUAGCCGACCUGAGAGGGGGAUCGGCCACACUGGAACUGAGACACGGUCCAGACUCCUACGGGAGGCAGCAGUAGGGAAUCUUCCGCAAUGGGCGAAAGCCUGACGGAGCAACGCCGCGUGAGUGAUGAAGGUCUUCGGAUCGUAAAACUCUGUUAUUAGGGAAGAACAUAUGUGUAAGUAACUGUGCACAUCUUGACGGUACCUAAUCAGAAAGCCACGGCUAACUACGUG